CCCCCAUCGCAUCUGGAGGGAGAAGCCCAGCUCCUUAGCACAGCACCUGAGAAAUACCCUUUACAGUCUGGCCACUGGCUGAACAUUCUUUCACUCUCCAUGCCACACUGCUCUAGCCAGUCUUGGUGCUCUGUGUUCACCUGGUUCAUCUGAGGAGCUGCAUCUACCCUGCCCAUGCCAUAGAUCCUGCCCUGUUUGCUUCUCCUGUUGCUGCUAGUGGACAUGAGAAGGACAGAAUAACGGGCUCCCAGAUUCACAAGCCCCACCAAGAGGAUCACCCCAGGAACGCUUGGAGGCUGAGGAGUUCACUGAGGCUACUGCAUCUUGAGACUCAGGAUGAAGACCCAGCUUGGGGCUGUCAAAGGUUUUUUGCAUGUCUGACACCCAUGACUCCACCUGGACCUUAUGGCUCCACCCAGAAGCAAUUCAGCCCAACAGGAGGACAGCUUCAACCCAUUACGAUUUCAUCUCUGCCCCAACCACUCAGCAGCAAGCACCUGUUACCUGUCCACCCCCACCCCUUCCCCCAAACUGCCUUUGAAAAAUCCCUAACCUAUGAGCUUUGAAUAAGAUGAGUACGAACUUCAUCGCCCACGUGGCGUGGCCGGCCUCGUGUCUAUUAAAUUCUUUUUCUACUACAA
ensembl:lncRNA PVT1 Pvt1 oncogene